rnacentral:tRNA from 1 species
GGGAAUGUGGCUCAGUGGUAGAGUGCUUGCUUAGUAAGCAUGGACCCCCGGGUUCAAUUCCUGAUAUCA